rnacentral:lncRNA from 1 species
ACUGAUGUGAGAUGAGACUAGUUCUAGAGGAUACCAGCAAAUAAGAUUAAUAAUAAUACAGCAGAAAAGCAGCAAACAAUGAUAACAGAGGUGAUUAUGUUAAAAUCAAAAAGAGAUUACUGUUAUGCAUGCGAAUAGUUCCAUCCCUUAGAUCUAGAAAAAGACUGUAGAUGAUUGAGAAACCAUCCAUGAUUAAGAUAUUAGAUCACAAUUAAAAAAAUUUUAAUUUAAUUAAUAAAAAAAUAUAAAAUUAAUUUUUUACAAUAAUGAUUUACUCAG